CGUGAAAUUGUUGAAAGGGAAGCGCUUGGCAUCAGCCCAUGGCGUUCGGCCAUCAUCCAAGCUUCUGCUUGGUGUACUGGUCGGGCGUUGGGCCAGCGUCGGCUUUGUCCAUCGGGGAAAGGUCUUGGGAAUGUGGCUCGCUUCGGUGAGCGUUAUAUCCCUAGACGUCAUGCGAUGAGAUGAGGCCGAGGUCUGCGGUUUAUCCUAGGACGCUGGCGUAAUGGUUCCAAGCGACCCGUCUUGAAACACGG
rnacentral:rRNA from 1 species